AAAAGCUCGUAGUUGGAUCUCAGCUCCGGCCGGACGGUCCGCCUACCGGUGGUUACUGUUCGUCGCCGAGCGUUCAGGCGGUUAUUCUUGAUGAUCUUCACCGGUUGUCUCGGGUGACCGCCAAGUUUACUUUGAAAAAAUUAGAGUGCUCAAAGCAGGCGCGACGCCUGAAUAAUUGUGCAUGGAAUAAUGGAAUAGGACCUCGGUUCUAUUUUGUUGGUUUUCGGAACACGAGGUAAUGAUUAAGAGGGACAGACGGGGGCAUUCGUAUUGCGACGCUAGAGGUGAAAUUCUUGGACCGUCGCAAGACGAACUACUGCGAAAGCAUUUGCCAAGAAUGUUUCCAUUAAUCAAGAACGAAAGUUAGAGGUUCGAAGGCGAUCAGAUACCGCCCUAGUUCUAACCAUAAACGAUGCCAGCCAGCAAUCCGCCUGUGUUCCUCAAAUGACACGGCGGGCGGCUUCCGGGAAACCAAAGCUUUUGGGUUCCGGGGGAAGUAUGGUUGCAAAGCUGAAACUUAAAGGAAUUGACGGAAGGGCACCACCAGAAAUGGAGCCUGCGGCUUAAUUUGACUCAACACGGGGAAACUUACCCGGCCCGGACACAGGAAGGAUUGACAGAUUAAGAGCUCUUUCUUGAUUCUGUGGGUGGUGGUGCAUGGCCGUUCUUAGUUGGUGGGGCGACUUGUCUGGUUAAUUCCGAUAACGAACGAGACUCUAGCCUACUAAAUAGACGUUCCGAUCCUCUUUCGUCGGACGUUCUUCUUAGAGGGACAAGCGGCGUUUAGCCGCACGAGACAGAGCAAUAACAGGUCUGGGAUGCCCUUAGAUGUCCGGGGCCGCACGCGCGCUACAUUGAAGGAAUCAGCGUGUGCUUUCCCUGUCCGACAGGACUGGGUAACCCGUUGAACCUCCUUCGUGCUGGGGAUUGGAGAUUGUAAUUGUCCUCCAUGAACGAGGAAUUCCCAGUAAGCACGAGUCAUCAGCUCGUGUUGAUUACGUCCCUGCCCUUUGUCCACACCGCCCGUCGCUACUACCGAUUGAAUGAUUUAGUGAGGUCUUCGGACUGGCGCUCGGAUUGGCCUUCGCGGUCGAGCCGGUGUGCCGGAAAGAUGACCAAACUUGAUCAUUUAGAGGAAGUAAAAGUCGUAACAAGGUUUU
rnacentral:rRNA from 1 species